AUUGAACGCUGGCGGCAUGCCUUACACAUGCAAGUCGAACGGCAGCACGGGAGCAAUCCUGGUGGCGAGUGGCGAACGGGUGAGUAAUAUAUCGGAACGUGCCCGGUCGUGGGGGAUAACGCAGCGAAAGCUGUGCUAAUACCGCAUACGAUCUCUGGAUGAAAGCGGGGGACCGUAAGGCCUCGCGCGAUUGGAGCGGCCGAUAUCAGAUUAGCUAGUUGGUGGGGUAAAGGCCCACCAAGGCGACGAUCUGUAGCUGGUCUGAGAGGACGACCAGCCACACUGGAACUGAGACACGGUCCAGACUCCUACGGGAGGCAGCAGUGGGGAAUUUUGGACAAUGGGCGCAAGCCUGAUCCAGCAAUGCCGCGUGCAGGAUGAGGGCCUUCGGGUUGUAAACUGCUUUUGUACGGAACGAAACGGCGAGCUCUAAUAAAGUUUGCUAAUGACGGUACCGUAAGAAUAAGCACCGGCUAACUACGUGCCAGCCGCCGCCGUAA
rnacentral:rRNA from 1 species